GGCAUGUUGUAUUUAUCUGCAGAGAGGUCAAGGACAGGAGUCACAUUCCUGAAAUGCAGAAGUCACAAUGCAAUUCAGACUCUGGAGAAUAAACAGUACAUAAUGUGGCCAGUAGGACCAGGGCAGCGAUCACCCCCUGCGCUGGGCACUGGUGAGGCCACACCUCGAGUGCUGGAGAGUGUCUGAAGAAGGGCAGUGAAGCUGGGGAAGAGUCUGGAGCACAGUUCUGAGGAGGAGCAGCUGAGGGAGCUGGAGUGGCUCAGCCUGGGGAACAGGAGGUUUAGGAGGGACCUUAUUCCUCUCUACAACUUCCUGACAGGAGGGGAUCUUACUGACUCUCCACACAUGCCUAGGAGUGACUGCUUUGUCAGCCAUGUAGAGAGACAAUUGAAAAAAAGGGAAACCUCUAUUUGGGGCUACUUCCUAAGUGGAGAUAUGUGACACUCCUGUGCCUGGGGAAACCUUGAAUCACUAGUUUUGAGGCUGAAGAUCUGGAGGUGUAAAUGAGUUUCUCUCCAGUAAAAAAAGGAGAAUCUCAAAACCCCAGCAAAUGUGUUCCCAGCCCAGGUAAGUGCUGGGAACAAUUCCAUUGCUGCACUAAGAGAUGCAACCUAAUCAAUCACCAAGAUACCUUCCUUUCAUCUCUAACCAGAGCUCCAGAGCUCAGCAAAGGACCUGCACAACAAAAGCACAAGGCUGGUAGAGGCAUCUCAGCAUCUCUCUUCCUGGCAGAAAUUCCUGUAUCAGCCAAGCUAGAAGAAUCUGUCUGUUUUGGGAAACAACGGAUAUAUCAAACAUUCUGGCAAAGCCCAGGAGAAAUGACAACUCAAUGAUGUUGAGAAGAAAAUUAUCAGAGAGAGAUUCAUUUGUCUGACAAUAUGUCUUUAUGCUCUCCACUGAGGAAGAACAAGAGUCUCCUCGUGCAUAUUGAAUUUACUUCUGGUGUGAGUCAACCUCUGUCAGUAGGGCUGUAAGUGCUGCCGGUUUAGGAAAAUGGGUGAUCGCUGCUACCUGGCACCUGUCCCCUGCAGCUCGGAGCACUGAAGCUUUCCAGCCACUGCUUCUGCCACCAGCAAGGCUCGUUUUAUACCAUGGUUUGGGGCACAGCAUUCAGAACAUCUCCUGCACUAUCCUGGCAUCUAUCAAAACAUUUGCCUGAGGAGGCAGAUGGGACAGCCAAAUGUGGGGCUGCAGGUCAUGGAAAGCCCAGAGUCUGGUUUUGGAGAUGAAAAGAGAGUCCAGAAUGUUCAUGGGAGCUUGCUAAGGAACCAUUUUGAUUUGCCUGUUUGUGUAAAAAUAAUCCAUGUUUCCUUGACAUGUUGAGAAUACAACAUGCCAAGAAUAACUUGCAUACUUUGGGAGGUCUUUCUGCUUGUGAAAGUCCAGCAUGCUACUGGCUUUAUCAAGAGAUCUCAAAUAUGCUUGUGGAACUUGAAAAUGGUCUUUCCAAUGACUAAUGCAGUCCAUUUGUAUGGAUAGCUCAUUAAAUUAGCAGAAAUGCUAAGUCUUACAAGAAGCAAUUUCUCUCUUACGCAAAACACGAAAUGUGCUCAUCCGGAAAAGGAAAUUUCACAUCUCCUUGCUAAUAGUGAAAUAACAGAUCAUCACAAGCUUCUUCCAGACUCUUCUUGUUUGACACAUUCCACAUCCUUUUCCCAGCCAGCAUUUUCCUGGCCAGCAUAAGCCUCAGGGAGGUCCUAUCUGCACUGACAUCUCUGCAGUUCCAGCCCCAGAUAGUGAAGCAGAAGCGAGCUGAGGGUAACAGCAUUUAUCUUCAGAAACCAUGGCAGUAUGUGUCAAAGAAGAAUAUCCUGGAGUCACGAUCUGAAGGGCUGCCAUGUCCAUAGGGUGAAAGGGUUUUAUGUGGCUUUGUUUGUUUGUUUGUUUGUU